CAGUAGGGGAGUGUUAUAGUGACGUGUGGUCAGUCAGUAGGGGAGUGUUAUAGUGACGUGUGGUCAGUCAGUAGGGGAGUGUUAUAGUGACGUGUGGUCAGUAGGGGAGUGUUAUAGUGACGUGUGGUCAGUAGGGGAGUGUUAUAGUGACGUGUGGUCAGUCAG